rnacentral:rRNA from 1 species
GGGGAAUCUUAGACAAUGGGCGCAAGCCUGAUCUAGCCAUGCCGCGUGAGCGAUGAAGGCCUUAGGGUUGUAAAGCUCUUUCGUGGGGGAAGAUAAUGACUGUACCCCAAGAAGAAGCCCCGGCUAACUCCGUGCCAGCAGCCGCGGUAAUACGGAGGGGGCUAGCGUUGUUCGGAAUUACUGGGCGUAAAGCGCACGUAGGCGGACCGGAAAGUCAGAGGUGAAAUCCCAGGGCUCAACCUUGGAACUGCCUUUGAAACUCCCGGUCUUGAGUUCGAGAGAGGUGAGUGGAAUUCCGAGUGUAGAGGUGAAAUUCGUAGAUAUUCGGAGGAACACCAGUGGCGAAGGCGACACCCUGGACCGAUACUGACACUGAGGCGCGAAAGCGUGGGUAGCGAAC